rnacentral:tRNA from 1 species
GUUUUCAUGGCAGAGUGUUUAAGGCGAUGUAUUUAAGAUCCAUUGGGAUGUCCCCACACAGGUUAAAAUCCUGCCGAUAACG